UGCAGAAGGAUGUUUGCCGCGUAAUCAAUGCCUUCCUUUCCAAUCAAGAUGUAAUUCUGAGUGGCUCCCAUCGGCGGGGAAAAGAGUACUAUCAGCUUACGGCGAUGGUGACAAGAAAUAACGCUGAUUGUGGCUCCUCUAAUUUCGCUCAGGGAGGAGGAGAAUUCUAUGUAUAUACCGGGAAGGAGACUACCAGAUCCAGAAGAUCCGGAAUGAGCUGUUACAAGUAAUUGGUUUUUGUAUAAAUGCUAGAGCAAAAGGAGGUUGACAAUUAUUGCAACAGGAAAGUAACCACCCAGUAAACAUUAAAUCGCAUAACAAGCGUAUAUAUAACAUCAUAUGCCCUAAAUUUCGGUAGGCAUAUAAUGCACCUAACUAGCAUAUGCAUGCAAAAGUGGAGGCCAUAUACAUGCAUGGCAAAUGUUUACCGAAUUAGUUUGGAUGAAUAUGCAACUUUGACCGACUAUAAUAGCGAUUAUGUUGAAAUUGAAUUGCGAUCUAAUAUGAAUAUAUUCAUGAAUUGUCAACGCACCUAAUAUGACUUUUGCCAUACUCAUAUACGAUUUAUUACAGACAUAGAAAAAAAAACAAAUGUAGCAAAAUAUUUUCGUAAAAUUUUUAUUAUA